rnacentral:rRNA from 1 species
AUGGCGGCUGCUGGUGCUGAGAAGCUGCACGUUCUGGUGGCGUGUGCCUUGCUGCUGCUCGCCGUGGGGUGCCAGGCCAGCCCUCUGCAGAUCGGGUUCUACCACGACAGGUGCCCCCAGGCGGAGGCGGUCGUCAAGGGCGUCAUGAUGGAGGCCAUCUCCCAGAAUCCCGGCAAUGGCGCUGCCAUGAUCCGCAUGCUCUUCCACGACUGCUUCGUCGAGGGGUGUGACGCUUCGGUCCUCCUAGACCCGACCCCGUUCAGCCCGACGCCGGAGAAGCUCAGCGCGCCCAACAAUCCCUCCCUACGUGGCUUCGAGCUGAUCGACGCCAUCAAGGACGCCCUCGAGGCGGCCUGCCCGGGCAUCGUCUCCUGCGCCGACAUCGUCGCUUUCUCAGCCCGUGACGCGUCUUGCAUCCUCAGCGGGGGCAAGGUGGACUUUGAGGUGCCGUCCGGCCGCCGCGACGGCACCUUCUCCAACGCCUCCGAGCCGGUCAAGUUCCUCGUCCCACCCACGUCCAACCUCAGCGACCUCGUGGACAGCUUCGUUGUCAAGGGCCUCGAUGUGGAGGACCUAGUCAUCCUCUCCGGCGCGCACACCAUCGGGCGCUCCCACUGCUCCGCCUUCGUGCCCGACCGCCUCAACGUCACCUCCGACAUCGACGGCGGCCUCGCCGCGUUCCUGCGUGACCAGUGCUCCGCGGACGCCGCCCCGGGUGGCAACGACCCGACGGUGAUGCAGGACGUGGUGACCCCGAACGACCUGGACAAGCAGUACUACAACAACGUGCUGUCGCGCACGGUGCUCUUCACCUCCGACGCGGCGCUCCUGACGUCGGAGGAGACUGCGAGGAUGGUGAUGGACAACGCCAACAUGCCCGGGUGGUGGGAGGACAGGUUCGAGAAGGCCAUGGUGAAGAUGGCCGGCAUCGAGGUCAAGACCGGCGACCAGGGACAGAUCAGGAAGAACUGCCGCGCAAUCAACUACUACUAA